UUGACUUCCGCCCUCUCCCCUCCCUUCCUUCCUUCUUCCCGAAGGUACUCAUCUGAGAAAAAGAGAACGGAGUAUUGUUCCUGUUCUCCUUCUUAAGUCAUUUGAAACACUGUCCCUGCGAGUUCUUUAAGUUCCCUGCAAUCGGUACACAAGAGAAAGAGGGAGAGAGAGACAGGGAAAGACAGAGACAACGAGAGACCAGGUAAAGCAGUGGGGCUGCUGCCUCUCAGCCUCAGGAGCUGGGAAGCUGCAGAGGAUGCAGAAGGCAAUGAAGAUGGCCAAAGAUGAGGACGGGUCCCUCAACGCGGCCGUGAAAAGCAUUCCCGCCUUUCCCCACUGCCUACAGCCCGAGGCUUCCCGAGCGAAGGCUCCUCAAAGACACCCCUUCCCGGAAGCCCUCCAGGGCCCCUUUUCCCAGUUUCGGUAUGAACCUUCUCCAGGAGACCUUGAUGGAUUCCCCGAGGUCUUCGAGGGAGGAGGGUCCCGGAAACGGAAGAGCAUGCCCACAAAGGUUCCUUACAAUCACCCUGCAGAAGAAGCCUCGAUUGCUCAGGAAAGCAAGAGCCUGGGCCCUCCGAACCUCGCUCUGCUUUUCCCUCAGCCACAGCGCCCCAAGUGCGACUCCCAGAUGAUCGACCUGUGCAAUGUGGGCUUGCAGUUUUACCGCACCCUGGGGCACCUGGGGGGCAAAACUGUCAAGCAGGAGCCGGUGAAACCCAGUGCCAUGUGGCCCCAGCCCACGCCUCCUGCCUUCCUGUCUGCGCCUUACCCCUACUACCCCAAAGUCCACCCGGGUCUCAUGUUCCCCUUCUUCAUGCCCUCAUCCUCACCCUUCCCCUUCAGCAGACACGCCUUCCUGCCCAAGCAGCCCCCCGAGCCAGUGUUACCCCGCAAAGUGGAGCCCCUGGAGAGCGAGGAGACCAAGCAGAAGGUGGAGAGAGUGGACGUGAACGUCCAGAUCGAUGACAGCUACUACGUGGAUGUGGGUGGGGCUCAGAAGCGCUGGCAAUGCCCCACCUGUGACAAGUCCUACACCUCCAAGUACAACCUGGUGACCCACAUCCUGGGCCACAGCGGGAUCAAGCCCCACGCGUGCUCCCGCUGCGGGAAGCUCUUCAAGCAACUCAGCCACCUGCACACCCACAUGCUGACACACCAGGGCACGCGGCCCCACAAAUGCCAGGUGUGCCACAAGGCCUUCACGCAGACCAGCCACCUGAAGCGCCACAUGAUGCAGCACAGCGAGGUGAAGCCGCACAACUGUCGCGUGUGCAGUCGGGGCUUUGCCUACCCCAGCGAGCUCAAGGCCCACGAGGCCAAACACGCCAGCGGGCGCGAGAACAUUUGUGUGGAGUGCGGCCUCGACUUCCCCACCCUGGCUCAGCUGAAAAGACACCUCACUACGCAUCGGGGCCCCAUCCAGUACAACUGCUCGGAGUGCGACAAAACCUUCCAGUACCCAAGUCAACUGCAGAAUCACAUGAUGAAGCAUAAGGACAUCCGCCCCUACAUCUGCUCCGAGUGUGGCAUGGAGUUCGUGCAACCCCAUCACCUAAAGCAACACUCACUCACCCACAAGGGUGUGAAAGAGCACAAAUGCGGGAUCUGUGGGCGUGAGUUCACCCUGCUGGCCAACAUGAAGAGACACGUGCUGAUCCAUACCAACAUCCGGGCCUACCAGUGUCACCUCUGCUACAAGAGCUUCGUGCAGAAGCAGACCCUCAAGGCACACAUGAUCGUCCACUCGGAUGUGAAGCCUUUCAAAUGCAAGCUGUGUGGGAAGGAAUUCAACAGGAUGCACAACCUGAUGGGCCACUUGCACCUGCACUCGGACAGCAAGCCCUUCAAGUGUCUCUACUGUCCCAGUAAGUUCACACUGAAGGGGAACCUGACCCGCCACAUGAAGGUCAAGCAUGGAGUGAUGGAGCGAGGCCUUCAUUCUCAAGGUCUGGGUAGGGGACGACUCGUCCUGGCGCAGUCCACUGGUGUGCUGAGGAAUCUGGAGCAGGAGGAGCCAUUUGACCUCUCCCAGAAGCGCAGUGCGAAGGGGCCAAUGUUCCAGUCUGACGUGGACAGCAUGCAGGACUGCCUCUGCCAGGACGAGGAGGCCGGUGAAGAGGACAACUGCUACGAAGUGGAGCCCAAUAGCCCCAGCCUGGCCCCGGAGAGCCAGCAGCUCUGCGCGCCUGAGGAUCUGUCCACUAAGCAGGAGCAGGCUCUACAAAGCCCUGGAGAAGGAUGCCGGGAUCAGGAUGUUCCGGAAGAGCAGCAGGAGGACAGUAGCGAGGACCACGAGGGCAGAGACUUAGACUGCGAGGAGAGAGACAUAGACUGUGUCAUCAGAGACGAGCGCCUGGGCAGCGGGCUGUUGCAAAGCGGCGGGCAGGGCCCCUCAUUUUCUGAUUACUUAUACUUCAAGCACAGAGAUGAGGGUUUAAAAGAAUUACUGGAGAGGAAAAUGGAAAAACAAGCAGUUCUUUUGGGUAUCUAGGUGAAUGGCUUUAAAAUUUCAUUUGGAAAAGGAGAUCUAGGCAGUUCAACUAUAGCUUUUCGUGCAAACUGUCAUUUGCUGCAGACGGGAGAGUGACACCCGUCUUUAAAAAUGGCUCAGAUUAAAUGCGUGGGUAACACUCGCUUCUCAGGUUGUUCCUUGGACACUUGGCAAUUCCAUACAUGUCCAGGGGUCCUUUGGUGUUAUUUUACACAUCACCCACAUGAUGAGCUGUGCAUUCUUCUAGAUACCUAACUGCAAUCUGAACUUCGAGGUGCUUUUAGACACUGUUUUCUCCUAACACGCAGUGAUGCAAACGUCUUUCUAGUUGCAAGACUGUGGUGCUCAUGUUAUCUUAAUUAGUGACUAUUUAGUUGCAUUUGUGAAGGUUACAGUAUCAUAGAUGAAAAUAUUAGUAGGUGUAUAUAUAAAAAAUAUAAAAAUAUAGCUUUUAUUAAAUAAUAGAAACACAGGAAAUGAUGCAAGAGAUGAACUGUUGGGAAGACUCAAGUAGUUCCUGCAAAUGUGAAGUUGGGUUUCAGAAGAAGUUGAAUCAUUUUGACUAAGACAGAACCAGAUGAUGCUUAGACACCUGGUUGGGUCCUCUCUUCUGCUUCUGCUCUCCUGAUCAAUGGGACAUUUGGGGCACUCUGGUAGACAUCUGGAUGAUGCUUGUGGGGGUCCCAGCUCUUCAGAUCAAACCGCUCCUCAAGAAGAACUUCCUCACCUUGCUCUGAGGCCUCCUGCCCCAUGAAGCAACUGAAAGGAGAAUUGCCUUUCAGGAUGUGUGAACUGCUGUUGCAGUGUACUGUGAGGAUUAUAAUGGAUAUACUGGGCCUAUUAGGCUGGCCUUCUUAGACCCUGCCACCACGGCAAGCAGCGCUGCAUGGGACUGCGUUUGUGUCACUGACUCGGUAGGUUCUGCAUUGUUUCUGUAAAAACUUUGGUUUACUGUCCUUUUGGUUGAGAGUGUCAACAUUCUUGGUAAAGCAAGGUGCUAGGGACCACUUUGCUUCUCUCCUCCCCCAGAUUCCCAGCACAUUUGUCUAAGAGAUGCAGUCUAGCUCUUACUACCAGAGGCAGCUUUCUUAGCCAACCAAGCUGCUUCUCCAUGAGGCUCACCCAGUCUCCGCCAUUCACCUAUGUGCAUGGACAAUCUCUCAGCCUUCUCUCCUACUGACAUCCUAAAAUUCAUUUCUUUGUCAUGACUACCCCUGUGAAGGGCAAAAGGCUUGUAUGUUUCCUACUUCCAGCUGUGCACAUCUCUUGGUCAUAACAUCUGCAAAGGUGAUGGAUGGUGGGGAGAUUUCUCUGGGUUUCUGUGGCCACGAGCGCAACUCAGGACAAAGAACUGUUGAAGGUCUUCAGAGGGGCAAGAUCCCUUCUAUUCACUUCGAGUGGAACUUCUGGGUGUCUUAGAUAAAAGUGUCCAGGAGGCUUCAUCCAUGGAUGGAGAAUUGGGGCACAUGUGCUGUGCAUGACCACAGUUACACAUACUUCCAGGUGCCUCUGGAUGUCACAUUGGAAUAGAAGGAACCAGGAAAACAGAGAGGAGCAAAUCUUGUAGGAAUGUUUGAGAAACCAGUUGUGUCAGAGAGAGAAUGGUCUAGAAUGGUGGUUUGAGAACAAGUUUUGAAGAGUUGGAUAUCCCAUCAUAGGCCCCUCCAGAGCUGGAAAAAAAAAAAAGGAGAUACCCAGCUCCCGGGGCCAUUUCACUCAAAGUAGCAGACUUCAUGGAGGGAGAAGGAAGAUCCAAAGAAAGAACCGCAAUGUAGUGGGGAUAUGCCCCUGAGCCUGGCUCUGGCUUUUACCUCCCAGUAUGGAAGACUUAGUAGCUAUAACCUGAAGGACAACCCAACACUCCCCUGAAAGUAAUGCCAGCCCCAGGUUUCAUGUGCAGAGAAGGCAGCAGUCCUCAUUUACAUCUAUUUUCCUAACACAGCCUUUGGUAUUGUUCCUUGGCUUCUCAAAAGCAUCCCAAGGAGUGAGGUCAGCUUCCUGGACACUGGAAAAGGUGUGGCCAACCUUGAUCUGAUUAACCAGAUACAAAUCUGAAGUAGGCCUCAUGGAACCCAUCUCAGCAAACCAAAGAAUAAAGUCAUCCAAGGUCACCACCAUUCCAAAGCUUCAUCCUUCAUCAUAUUAUAGAAUUCUGAAAAGAGGUCAGACCUAAAUGUUCCCCAGCCUUUGGACCAUCAUCUCUUUGACUCCCAGACUUUGGACCAAUAUCACAUUGACUCCCAGACUUUGGGCCAUCAUCACUCUGAACUGGCUAACCAUCCAGCCUAGUGGCAUAUUUGUCUCCUGCCCUUUUAACUCGGGCUUGCAAUGGUCCCCCUUAGUUUAUUUGUAUCCCUCUUUCAUCCUUUUAUGUUUUUUAGACUUGGAUCUCCCUUUGGCCAUGACACUGGAGCCAAUCUUUCCAACGUCAAAAGGAGCUAAUAGGUAUAUCUGGAUGUAAGUAGUUGCAGAAGAAAGCUCAAUCACCGUGCGUUCUGUAUUUAUUGAGCCCCAAAGACAGUCAAUAAAAUAUUAACAUUAUGUUUUGAAUUAUGCUCUUUCUCUGCUUUGCUGAAACAAAAUGUAACCAAGCUAACAUUUCAAAUCCUUCACAUUUUUGGACAACAUUACAUCAAAUGUUGCUUUUUAUACAGAAUUUGGGCUUGUGAGUAAAAAACUAAAGCUCUAAGCGUCUAGCAACCCAAGUUGUGAAUGUUACUUCCUGUUUCCAGGCAGUUUACCUGUAAAUGGCAUGUAACCUGUGUUUUGUUAAUUUAAGUAAAUAAAAAAAAAAGUUGAAAGAA